rnacentral:sRNA from 1 species
UUCACCCCAUUGAUGUUAUAAUACAAUAAAUAUUGUUAAUUUGUUGGUGUUGACUCCCACACCAAAGUGCUAAAUAAUUGCCAUGAAAAUUAAUUGCCGUCAUAGGUAGGUCGUCGCUUAAGUCUUUUGUAAGGGUAAUUACAUACUACGUGAGAGUUUCUCUAUUGUCUCACUCAUGCAUUCAUUAUCUCCUCUUCUUGUGCUAAGAGAGUUGUUCUUCCCAUCCCCCUUCUCAUUAUUUGCUCCAUCUUCUUAUUGCACACACUUGUCUGGUUUUGUUUUUUCAUCACAGCAACCUUCUUUUGCUUAAUCUACUUUGCUUUACUUCUAAAAGUGAAAAAUCAAUUCUGUAAACCCAGAAGAACAAAAAAAAUAUUACAUUCUUUCAAUUUCGUUGUUUUUCUGUGUCUCUUGAUUUCAUUUUCUGCCAAUUUCAACUUCCGGUCGAUCAGUUUUACUUUAAAAGGAAAAAAAAUGGCAUACAUACUAUGUUCAGCUUCAUUUACGGACCGAUUGUACUUCGGCUUUCUGUAGGCAAAGGAGUCUGGAGAGAUAAGUUAUGCUGAGAUUCAAGUCCAUCAACUAUCAAAUCUGAGUCGUACACGUUGGCAAUGACACACUAUGAUGCUAUGAGAAUCGCUAAUACGAAAGUCAACCCUUUGGUCAAAGCGGCACCUUUAGGGUCCUAAACCCUAAAAUCUUUGAUCUAAAGUCUACGAACUUCAGGUACAUGAACGUAAGUUUUUACAAGUCACAUAUAGCACCAACAAUAAUAUAUUUAAAAUUCAUGACAAUUCAACUAUCGGAUUGCCACUGUUCACAAAAUGGAAUGGCGAUCAAUUACGGUUUUUCCGAUCAAGCAUUUGAAUCUGGGAAAACAAUCCUAGAAUUAGGUUCGUACUCUAUUUUUAGUUAAAUUUUAGCUAAAAAGGUUACAAAGCCAUUUUAGGAGCUCCAUAAAAAAUUUCUAAUAUAACAAUAGUCUCUAAUUUAGGGAGUCAUAAUAAAUAUGUACCCUUAAAAGCUUCUUUCUCACUUCUUAAAUUUAGGAGCUCCUAGCCAUUUUGCAAUCCUAUAAAUAUGAUAGGGAGUGUGAUUGGCGUUGGAAUUUUUUAAAGGGAAAUUAUGUUUGCACUAAACUUUUGUCUUUAGAUACCUUUCAAUUUUAUUUAAGGAAAAUUAAUGAAAAUGGCUUGAAAACUUUGAGUUUUAACGAUAAAAACAAAAUAAAGAGUAAAGUGAAUAGUACCAGGAUUGACUUUUUAGUGUAAAAAUGUAAUUUUUCGUUAAAGUGAACAACACCGGGAGCUUUUCGUUAAAGUUCCCAAAUGUAAAAUAAUACUUAUGCUCAUAUGUAAAAUUACUAUAAAGGACUUACUAGACUCUUUAACAUAAUCUUAAUUUCUUUGACACCCAAAUUGAAGAGCCACUAGGGUUUGUAUACAAAGAAAUAUGUCAUCAAGUACAACUUUUUUAAUUAUAUUUUUACAUUUUUCUUAGCAACGGAAAAGUAAACAUCUAACACUACGUUUGGAAAAGUAAACAUCUAACAUUAUGUUUAGAUGAAGAAAUCUAAGAUUACUACGAAAUUUUAAAAUGACUGAAAUUAAAAUUACGGGAUUUUGUUUUCUAAAAUUUGUGAAUUUUCUUGUUUGAUUAACAUAAAAGAACAAUGGAAUUAAAUACGGAAUUUGUUAGUUUGAAACUCUCAAUCAUAGAAAUUGAGAAAUUACGCAUAUUUACGUAUAAUUCAAAUUUGGGAAUUGGAGAUCCCAAAUUCCAAGUUUUUUUUUUUUUCACACGAAAAUUGUAAAUUUAUAUGUUUAUAAAUUCAAACAAGGAAAUUAGUGCAUGUCAAUUUAUAAAUUUUGAUUUUUACUCAAAUUUCAAGUUUAUUUCCCUCGUUCAAACAUAGUUGGAAUUUAAAUUUUCGUGAAUGUGCUUGUCCAUAAACAAAAGUUGGGUGUAAACAAAAUUUCUCUUUUCUAUAUUCUUCCUAAAUUUUAAGUUGGGACCUUAUUUAAAUAGCCCAUUUUAGAUGCUAUAGCAGCGGACUUAACGAUGUCUCCUCCCUCUUUAACCGGCUAAGAGAGUUUCAUUCAGCCUCUUUUGGACUUUAUGGAUUUAUGUUGUCUCAC